CGUAGGGCGCAAGCGUUGUCCGGAAUUAUUGGGCGUAAAGAGCUCGUAGGCGGUUUGUCGCGUCUGCUGUGAAAGCCCGGGGCUUAACCCCGGGUGUGCAGUGGGUACGGGCAGACUUGAGUGCAGUAGGGGAGACUGGAAUUCCUGGUGUAGCGGUGAAAUGCGCAGAUAUCAGGAGGAACACCGAUGGCGAAGGCAGGUCUCUGGGCUGUUACUGACGCUGAGGAGCGAAAGCAUGGGAGCGAACAGGAUU
rnacentral:rRNA from 1 species